AGCGAACGCUGGCGGCAGGCCUAACACAUGCAAGUCGAACGAUCCUUCGGGAUAGUGGCGGACGGGUGAGUAACACGUGGGAACGUGCCCUUUGGUUCGGAAUAACUCAGGGAAACUUGAGCUAAUACCGGAUGUGCCCUUCGGGGGAAAGAUUUAUCGCCAUUGGAGCGGCCCGCGUUGGAUUAGCUAGUUGGUGGGGUAAAGGCCCACCAAGGCUACGAUCCAUAGCUGGUCUGAGAGGAUGAUCAGCCACACUGGGACUGAGACACGGCCCAGACUCCUACGGGGGGCAGCAGUGGGGAAUCUUGCGCAAUGGGCGAAAGCCUGACGCAGCCAUGCCGCGUGAAUGAUGAAGGUCUUAGGAUUGUAAAAUUCUUUCACCGGGGACGAUAAUGACGGUACCCGGAGAAGAAGCCCCGGCUAACUUCGUGCCAGCAGCCGCCGUAAGAC
rnacentral:rRNA from 1 species